UGGGGAAUUUUGGACAAUGGGCGAAAGCCUGAUCCAGCAAUGCCGCGUGCAGGAUGAAGGCCCUCGGGUUGUAAACUGCUUUUGUACGGAACGAAAAGCCUGGGGCUAAUACCCCCGGGUCAUGACGGUACCGUAAGAAUAAGCACCGGCUAACUACGUGC
rnacentral:rRNA from 1 species